AACGAACGCUGGCGGCAGGCCUAACACAUGCAAGUCGAGCGAGAACUUCGGUUCUAGCGGCGGACGGGUUAGUAACGCGUGGGAAUCUACCCAUCCCUACGGAACAACUCCGGGAAACUGGAGCUAAUACCGUAUACGCCCUACGGGGGAAAGAUUUAUCGGGGAUGGAUGAGCCCGCGUUGGAUUAGCUAGUUGGUGGGGUAAUGGCCUACCAAGGCGACGAUCCAUAGCUGGUCUGAGAGGAUGAUCAGCCACAUUGGGACUGAGACACGGCCCAAACUCCUACGGGAGGCAGCAGUGGGGAAUAUUGGACAAUGGGCGAAAGCCUGAUCCAGCCAUGCCGCGUGAGUGAUGAAGGCCCUAGGGUUGUAAAGCUCUUUCAACGGUGAAGAUAAUGACGGUAACCGUAGAAGAAGCCCCGGCUAACUUCGUGCCAGCCGCCGCAGUAAAAC
rnacentral:rRNA from 1 species